UACGAAGGGGGCUAGCGUUGCUCGGAAUCACUGGGCGUAAAGCGCACGUAGGCGGAUUCUUAAGUCAGGGGUGAAAUCCUGGAGCUCAACUCCAGAACUGCCUUUGAUACUGAGGGUCUUGAGUUCGGGAGAGGUGAGUGGAACUGCGAGUGUAGAGGUGAAAUUCGUAGAUAUUCGCAAGAACACCGGUGGCGAAGGCGGCUCACUGGCCCGAUACUGACGCUGAGGUGCGAAAGCGUGGGGAGCAAACAGGG
rnacentral:rRNA from 1 species